AUUUGAACCCAGGAAGUUUGGCUUCAGAGUCUACUUCAGUCAUUACAUUAUAGCGUGUGCCUAUUCACAGACAAAUGUGUUUCAGAAUUUGUCAUUCUUAUACUUAAAAUCAGUAGCGUUGACAGGAAAGAUAUCUUAGGGACUACUUCCUGUAGAUGUCUGUGUCCUGGGUACUUUGCAGGUUUCAUUCGUUCUGUAGCCACCAUAGAUGAUUUCUGUCAAACCCCCAAACCCUACCUCCUCACUGUCUCCAAUUAGCUUGACUUCCCUAUGUCCCCAUGGCAUCCAGUCAACCCAUGUUUGUAAGUAACUCUAGGCACCAGACGUGGGCUCAACGCUGGGCACAGUCCCUCCCCUCAUGGAGCUUUCACGGUGCAUUUGGAAGAUGCACAAUUAAAUAAGAACACUAAGAGCGUGAUGAGUUCCUUGAGCGGGAGCCCAGCUUCUCUAUUUGCCCAUGGCUGUUUGUGAAAUCUAUUGUUCAUAAGUCCAAAGUGACUAAGGAGAAGUUUAGACUUGUUGCCCCUGGAUUCAUUUCCCACCAAAUACGAGAAAACAUUCAAUAUUUAAGUUUGAAAUAUUCUUAGUGCUUUCUGUAAGGCAUAUUUUUUUUCCUCCAAAGACCAGCUCUCUGCUGCUCUGUCACUUGGAUACUCUGCAGGUAGAUCUGAUGGGCCUGGGACCUUUGCAGCCUGUGUUCCUGGUUUGCAGCCUGGUUCCGCCUGCCCCGAACCUUGGUAUUCUCAAUACCGGAUCUUCUCUUGAAUCAGCAUUAGGCGAGUUAAUCUUUGCUGUGCUGCCAACCUAUAGGCUCAGACUUGGCAAACGGGCCCCUGGGGCCUGAAUCUGGUAAAACUUUUUGUUUUGCUUGAAGAGUGUUUCUUCAAAAAUCGUGCUAAAAUUGGGAGAUUGUGCAUAAAAUAUCUGAAUUCCUGAGUUGCCUGGAAAAAAAUCAGAGAUCUAAGUCCAUUCCCACUGUAAUAUUCCACAGGAGCUUAGGGGCUCCUGUCCCUUAAACUGGCCCCUUAGUUCAUCAGGUCCCACCCAGAUCCCAUCAUCUAUGUUACCUAUGACCCCUGCAGAUCACGUACUCAGAAAUUCCAUUUUGACAAUUGCAUUUGCUUACCUUUUUGCUGAGUAGUUCUUACAUAUGCACAGUACUUUUCAGCCAUGAGUUGCUUCCUGCUUGAACAGUUCCCACCAAGAAAGCACUGAUCACACACACACACCACUUUACAGGUUUAUUACCCCUACUUUCAUAUUCAUUUUCAGAUCACUUCUGGCUCUUAACUCCUUUUAUACCUUAGCUUAGUGGUGUUUUCCAAAAAAUUGAAAAAAUUAAGUAGAAAACCCAAAAGUAUAUGAUAGACCAGAUUCUCAAAUUCAAAUGCCUACGGGGGCGUGGAGAGGGCAGGCAGGUCAUGUCAAGGGCUGAAGUGGGCCAGCCGGGGGGCCUCAGACCUAACAAGCACUCACUCCUCCUGCAGGAGGCAUCCCUCCCCAGUUCCCCUCUAAAGAAUGUACCUUUACAGAGCACCUGUGAUGCUGGGGGUGCUCUCCAUCUGCCCUGGUAGCCACGACCUGUGGAUAUUGAGCACUUGAAGUGUGGCUAGUGAAACUGAGGAACUGAAUUUUUAAUUUUAUUUAAUUUUUAUUAAUUUAAAUUUAAGUAGCCACAUGUGGCUAGUGACUACGGUACUGGAAUGAGCCUAGCUGAUGAUUACUGAGCAGAAGUGAAUAUGGGUCCAAUGUGGCCAGAUUUUCCAGAGGAUCCAGGAAUCCAUAUAUAUAUAUUUUUGGGAGAUGAAAUCUCUUCCAUUUAAUAUGUUGGCUCCAUUUUUUACAUGUUGUAAAAGCCAAACAAAACACAUUAAUGGGAUGAAUUGUGGCCUGUGACCAACUGUCGUUGCCCUCCACCCAUUGGAUUAAUGUAUAGUCAAGGGCAGAGAGAAAAACACCUCUAAGGUGUUAUUGCUCUGACACAGAGCCUUACUUGCACAAUGAAAGUUUUUGUUUGUUUGUUUGAGAGUUUAUCAGUGGCAGAGUUUAUAUAAUCAUACCCUGUGAAAGCAUAUAAUAAGGGAUAUGGAGGCUGAGACAUAAUAGAUGAAGAGAAUGUCUUCGGCUGAGAGUGAACAGCAAGGGUAAAGACCCAGAGAAAACAGAGGACAUAGCACUUUGGGAACCUAAAGAAGUUUUAUGUGCCUGCUCUGUUCACUAGCCACAUAUGGCUAUUUAAAUUUAAGUAAAAUUUCAAAAAUUAAAAAUUCAGUUUUUCAGUCAUAUUAGGUACAUUUCAAGCGCUUAGUCGCCACGUAUGGCUAUUCACCGCCACACCGGACCUUGAAGAUGUUGAGCAUGUUUGUAAUUGCACAGCCUCGGGGACAGCAGAAGAGCUCAGAGAGUGGAGAAGAUAGAGGGGAGAGCGUGGGGAAGGGACAUCGUGAGAGAGUUAGAGAGAUGCUCGGGAUGAGGCCAUGAGGUCACCAGGGGCUGGCGUACCACAUUAGGAAGUUUGGACUUUGAGCUGCAGAUUUGUCUUUUAGGAAGCUGGUGCUGCUGCUGUGCUGUGUGGGAAAUGGAUUGCAAGGAGAACAAGAGUGGAUGCUAGAGACCUGAUAAGAGACAGUGGCAGUUCAGCGAUGAAGUCAGAGCGGGCACCGAGUGACUGUCACACGCGCCUCACCAGGGACCAGGGGACUGGCGUUCAGCAGAAAGGCUAUUUCCUCAGCUGGUGCAAGAAGCCUGACACACUCUGCCCCUCCUGGCUCCAUGGCCUCUACCUGACUCACCUCAAAUGCCAGAGCCUCGAGGGUCUGAACGAUGCUCGAGUACCUGACUUGAGUCUCCUGUGGAUGAUUCUUCCACCUCGGAAGUUUUGCACAUGUACUCAGAGGAGAAAGUACAUCUCUUCAGAGUCAGCAUAGCAGGGUGCUGACGGGAGCAGUGUGGCCUCAGCGGGUGGCCCAGGAUUGAAUGUGGACUUCACCACUUACUGCCCUUGGAACCUAGACAAACUCACUCACCUCUCUGUGCCUCAGUUUUCUCAUUCGUUAGAGGAGAAUAAUGACAGUUUCCACUUCAUAGACUUGCUGUGAGGAAUAAAUGAGAUCAUAAAUGGAAAGAAUUUAGUCAUUGGCAUAUAAAAAGUGCUCAAUAAACGUUGGAUAUUAAUAUUCAGACUUGA